rnacentral:rRNA from 1 species
GGGGGGGGGUGGGGGGGGGGGUGGGGCGGGCGGGUCGGGGGGGAAGGGCGUGCUUUUGUGGGGUGCGCGAGUGGGGAGCGGGUGGGUGACACGUGAGUAACCUGCCCUUGACUUUGGGAUAACUUCAGGAAGCUGGGGCGAAUACCGGAUAGGAGCUCCUGCUGCAUGGUGGGGGUUGGAGAGUUUCGGCGGUUGGGGAUGGACUCGCGGCUUAUCAGCUUGUUGGUGGGGGAGUGGCUUACCAAGGCUUUGACGGGUAGCCGGCCUGAGGGGGUGACCGGCCACAUUGGGACUGAGAUACGGCCCAGACUCCUACGGGAGGCAGCAGUGGGGAAUAUUGCACAAUGGGCGGAAGCCUGAUGCAGCAACGCCGCGUGCGGGAUGACGGCCUUCGGGUUGUAAACCGCUUUCGCCUGUGACGAAGCGUGAGUGACGGUAAUGGGUAAAGAAGCACCGGCUAACUACGUG